rfam:Streptomyces sp. CNQ-509, complete genome.
CUUGAUGGAGCCCAGCCACAGCGGAUUCUCUGUGGAGUGCGCCUGGCCGUACGUCUCCAGCAGGGCCUGCGCCUC